AUUGAACGCUGGCGGCAGGCCUAACACAUGCAAGUCGAGCGGAGCGGCGGGCGGGUGAGUAAUGCCUAGGAAUCUGCCUGCUCGUGGGGGAUGACGUCCGGAAACGGGCGCUAAUACAGCAUGCUAGCAGAUGAGCCUAGGGCGGAUUAGCUAGUUGGUGGGGUAAAGGCCUACCAAGGCGACGAACCGUAACUGGUCUGAGAGGAUGAUCAGUCACACUGGAACUGAGACACGGUCCAGACUCCUACGGGAGGAAGCAGUGGGGAAUAUUGGACAAUGGGCGAAAGCCUGAUCCAGCCAUGCCGCGUGUGUGAAGAAGGUCUUCGGAUUGUAAAGCACUUUAAGUUGGGAGGCGUUACCAACAGAAUAAGCACCGGCUAACUUCGUGCCAGCAGCCGCGGUAAUUC
rnacentral:rRNA from 1 species